GGUCCGGCAGCACCAGCUCCUCCCCAGGGAGAACCACCUGAUUUAGCACCUUGUGCACUGCCCGUGCUCGGCAGCCCGCCACAGACUCAGCCCCAGCGGACACUUCAGCCAUGGCAGGCAUCACCAUUGCAACUUCCGGCUUACACCUGGUUCUCAGUGUCAUGUCGGUGUGGGCAUCGACACUAACCAUCCAAUGUCUGGGAUUCACCCACGAGAUCUUCUGAGCCCCCAAGAGCUUAUGUCACUUCUGCAGCUCUGCCCUUUGUAGCACACACCUUGCCUUCUAGGCUCCAGCUGCCUGUUCUCCACUGCUGCUGCUAUUUUUGGUGGUCAUCUCAUGGUAGUGGUAUCUCCAAUACACUGGUAUCUUCUGCUCAA